GAGGUGCCGGWCUNAGYCCCUUGGAACGGGGCGUCRGAGAGGGUGAGAAUCCCGUAUGCRACCGGUGGCCGAKSCCAUGUGAAACCCCUUCGACGAGUCGAGUUGUUUGGGAAUGCAGCUCAAAAUGGGUGGUAAAUUUCAUCUAAAGCUAAAUACCGGCCAGAGACCGAUAGCGCACAAGUAGAGUGAUCGAAAGAUGAAAAGCACUUUGGAAAGAGAGUCAAACAGUACGUGAAAUUGUUGAAAGGGAAGCGCUUGCAACCAGACCUGCCCGCGGGUGAUCAACCGUCCUUCUGGGCGGUGCACUCGCCCGCGAACAGGCCAGCAUCGGUUCGGGCGGUCGGAUAAAGGCCUUGGGAACGUGGCUCCCCUCGGGGAGUGUUAUAGCCCUCGGUGCAAUGCGGCCUGCCCGGACCGAGGACCGCGCUUCGGCUAGGAUGCUGGCGUAAUGGUUGUAAGCGGCCCGUCUUGAAACACGGACCAAGGAGUCGACCAACURUGCGAGUGUUUGGGCGUCAAACCCAYACGCGCAAUGAAAGUGAACGGAGGUGGGAACCCCUCGCGGGGCGCACCAUCGACCGAUCCAGAUGUCUUCGGAUGGAUUUGAGUACGAGCAUAGCUGGUCGGACCCGAAAGAUGAUGAACUAUGCCUGAAUAGGGUGAAGCCAGAGGAAACUCUGGUGGAGGCUCGCAGCGGUUCUGACGUGCAAAUCGAUCGUCAAAUUUGGGCAUAGGGGCGAAAGUAAGCAUCCUCUUCGAUGCAAUGAAACAAYAUAGGCUGACUGAAUCUCUAGGACUAAUCGAAUCAUCUAGUAGCUGGUUCCAGCCGAAGUUUCCCUCAGAUAGCAGUAACGUUUUCAGUUUAUGAGUAAAGCGAAUGAUAGAGGCCUUGGGGAUGCACAUCCUACUAUUCUCAACUUAAUAUGUAGAGUCUGUACUAGUGACGUGACAUUGAUGCACGUACUAGUGGGC
rnacentral:rRNA from 1 species